ACGGAUGUAGCUCAAUGGUAGAGCUAUGGUCUCCAAAAGCCCAAAAAUAAUGAAGAAGGUUCGAUUCCUUCCAUCCGUG
rnacentral:tRNA from 1 species